ensembl:lncRNA SCGB1B2P secretoglobin family 1B member 2, pseudogene
GCAGAUGCAACCUGCUACGCUGGAGUGCCACAAACCCCACUACCGCCCCUACCCUCCCUGUCCAGCCAAGCCACGCCACCCGGGCCCGCCCCCAGGACACGGAGUUUAAGGACCGCGUCUCCCGAGAUGCCAGAGGGACCUGCGUCCGCACUGCCCCAGUGUGACCCGCAUACCUACCGGCCCCGACCCCGAACCGCGUGGCGUCCGCCCGAGCCCUGGCGCUGCUGGGUCUCCUGCUGCUGCCGCUGCUCGCAGAGCCCAGGAAACUCUGCCCGCAGCUUAUGACGGUCAUUAACCAGUUUCUGACCAAGGACAAGGACACCUACAUGGACACUGUCAACAGAUACCACCUCACGGAGCCGGAAAGAAACACAUCCUCUAAACUCAAGGACUGCGUGACCGACACAAUGACCCCCGAGGAGACAGAGGCCGUCGUGCAGCAACUGGAAGAAAUCAACAACCAGUGUGCCGACACGAUACUGAAGUAACACCAUCCAUAGGCACCUCGGGUUCCUGUCCAGGCUGCCUGUCCCAACCAUGAGAAUCUGGGCCCAGGGCCCCACCCUCCCUAGCUCCCGCCCUGCUGCUGCCUCUACUCUCUCUCCUGCUGUGCUGAUUGGGGCAAGCCUGGGAACGGCUGCCCCCCACCUCCCCACCCAGGCCUGUCCCCUGCGGGACAAUGCUGCCUAAUAAACUCACCUGCAUCCAUCCA